rnacentral:lncRNA from 1 species
UCGGAACGCCGAGACGUCGUUGGAGGCGGCGAGAUCGCUUCUGACGACGUCGCGAUGAUUGCAAUAGAAAGUAAGGCAGAGCUGGUGACAAAAAAAAUUAUAAAAAAAAAUAAGAAUAAUAAAAAAUAAAAAAAUUAUUUUUUUUCUACAGAAAAGAUAAAAAAUAUAGGAGAAGAAAGAAGAUGAUGAAAUUUCACUCUUAAAAAAUAUUACACUGUUUUAAAAAAAAUUUGC